AGAAACUGUCUGCGUUUUGGCACUGAGCAUGACUCACGUUUCAUCCUGUUCAGUGCCAUAGCGCAGACUGUUUUU
rnacentral:pre_miRNA from 1 species